UACAGAGGGUGCAAGCGUUGUUCGGAAUUAUUGGGCGUAAAGGGCGCGUAGGCGGUGCGGUAAGCCUGUAGUGAAAUCUCUGGGCUCAACUCAGAGUCUGCUGCAGAAACUGCCGUGCUUGAGUGUGGGAGAGGUGAGUGGAAUUCCCGGUGUAGCGGUGAAAUGCGUAGAUAUCGGGGAGGAACACCUGUGGCGAAAGCGGCUCACUGGACCACAACUGACGCUGAGGCGCGAAAGCUAGGGGAGCAAACAGG
rnacentral:rRNA from 1 species